UGAGUCACGCGUAGGAAUAUACCCUUUAGUACGGAACAACAUUUGGAAACGGAUGCUAAUACCGUAUACGCCCUUUGGGGGAAAGAUUUAUUGCUAAAGGAUUAGCCUGCGUUAGAUUAGCUAGUUGGUGGGGUAAUGGCCUACCGAGGCGACGAUCUAUAGCUGGUCUGAGAGGAUGAUCAGCCACACUGGAACUGAGACACGGUCCAGACUCCUACGGGAGGCAGCAGUGAGGAAUAUUGGACAAUGGGCGAAAGCCUGAUCCAGCAAUACCACGUGACUGAAGAAGGCCCUAGGGUUGUAAAAGUCUUUCAGCAGGGAAGAUAAUGACGGUACCUGCAGAAGAAGCUCCGGCUAACUCCGUGCCAGCAGCCGCGGUAAUACGGAGGGAGCUAGCGUUGUUCGGAAUUACUGGGCGUAAAGCGCGCGUAGGCGGGUGUGAAAGUUGGAAGUGAAAUCCCGGGGCUCAACCUCGGAACUGCUUUCAAAACUACAUACCUAGAGUUUGAGAGGGGAGAGUGGAAUUCCUAGUGUAGAGGUGAAAUUCGUAGAUAUUAGGAGGAACACCGGAGGCGAAGGCGAUUUCUCUGGCUCAACACUGACGCUGAGGUGCGAAAGCGUGGGUAGCAAACAGGAUUAG
rnacentral:rRNA from 1 species